rnacentral:rRNA from 1 species
CUACCCUUGACAUGGAUGGAAUCCCGGAGAGAUUUGGGAGUGCUCGAAAGAGAACCAUCACACAGGUGCUGCAUGGCUGUCGUCAGCUCGUGUCGUGAGAUGUUGGGUUAAGUCCCGCAACGAGCGCAACCCUUGUCAUUAGUUGCUACGCAAGAGCACUCUAAUGAGACUGCCGGUGACAAACCGGAGGAAGGUGGGGAUGACGUCAAGUCCUCAUGGCCCUUAUGGGUAGGGCUUCACACGUCAUACAAUGGUACAUACAGAGGGCCGCCAACCCGCGAGGGGGAGCUAAUCCCAGAAAGUGUAUCGUAGUCCGGAUUGUAGUCUGCAACUCGACUGCAUGAAGUUGGAAUCGCUAGUAAUCGCGGAUCAGCAUGUCGCGGUGAAUACGUUCCC